UGCUUUGAAUUUUUAAAAAUUUUGCCAUCAUGCUCAUGUCUUCAGCCUGGUAUAAUUUUAUAUUAGAUUCAUAAGGUAUAUUCUACAAAAUCCAGUAAGAUAAUCUGUUAUGUUAAUUUCUUUCAGCUCUGUCAUCUCAUUACAACCAAGGCCUUUCACCAAAGCAGAGCACAGAUAUUUUAUUUUGAAAAGUAAUAAUGGGAAGUGAUGAAAGCUGUGACUUUGAGAAUUUACACUUAAGGAAAAAGUGUGAAGAUGUGGGUGGAGGUAAAGGCCAAAAAGAACGUUAUAAUGUGCAUCACCAAUGGGCAACAACUACUCAUAACAGAAAUUUACCUGCCACAGGAGACCAAGAACAUAGAACAUCUCAGAAGAAACCUCAACUUACAUCAGCUGCUUCUAUAUAGAAACAUGUUUCUAUAAGUAAAUAUCAACAUCGAUUUUUGAAAUAAACCUUUUGUAAUGAAACUCAGAAAAACUUUAACCAUCACUCAAAUUCCAGUAAACAUCAGAGUACUUAUUUUCCAGAUAAUCAUUAGAAAUGUAAUAAAUAAAGGAAAGUAUUUUAACAUUCCCCAAAACUUACCAUCCAUCAGAGUAUCCAUACUCAAGAGAAGCCUUACAGAUGUAAGAAAUGUGGGAAAAUUCUAACUAGUUCUCACUGCUUACUCAGCAUCAGAUAAUUCUCACUGGAAAAAAUUCACACAGAUGUUAAAGGUAGAAGAGUCUUUAGUCAAUCAUCACAUCUAAAUAGACAUAAGGAAAUCUAUAUUGGAGAGAAGUAUAAAAUGUAAAGAAUGGUAAACCCAUUAACUACUACUCAAUCCUUACACAUCAGGGAAUCCAUACUGUAGAGAAACCUUUGAAAUGGAAAGAAUACGGCAAAGCCUUUAAUAGGUGUUCACACCUUACUAAAAAUUAAAGGAUUGGUACUGGAUAGAAACCCUACAAAUGUAAUAAUUUUGGAAAGACUUUUGUGCAAAAUAUACACUUCAGAGAACACCACAGUAUUUACCCUGGAGGGAAAUUGUACCAAUGUAAAACAGUUAGCAAAACCUUUAACUGAUGCUUAAAUUUUGCUCAACAGAGAAUUUCUAUAGGAGAGAACCUCUACAAAUGUAAUAAAUGUGGAAGGACCUUUGUCCAAAAUAUACAACUUAGAAAGCACCAGAGAGUGUAUGCUGGAAAGAAACAUUAUAGGUGCAGUAAGUGUGAGAAAGCACUUAAUGAAAAAUCAAGUCUAAAUGAAAAUCAGA
rnacentral:lncRNA from 1 species